rnacentral:snoRNA from 1 species
UUGCCGUGAUGAUCAAACUUAGGAGACCUUUGGAAUUCAAUAUGACAAAACCAAAUUAUAAUCUGAGCAAU